rnacentral:rRNA from 1 species
CGAACGGGUGAGUAACACGUGGGCAACCUGCCCAAAAGAGGGGGGAUAACACUUGGAAACAGGUGCUAAUACCGCAUAACCAUAGUUACCGCAUGGUAACUAUGUAAAAGGUGGCUAUGCUACCGCUUUUGGAUGGGCCCGCGGCGCAUUAGCUAGUUGGUGGGGUAAAGGCUUACCAAGGCAAUGAUGCGUAGCCGAACUGAGAGGUUGAUCGGCCACAUUGGGACUGAGACACGGCCCAAACUCCUACGGGAGGCAGCAG